rnacentral:tRNA from 1 species
GCGGCCGCGGUAGCUCAACGGCAGAGCACGACAUCGGCCAUCUGCACCCCUUAUCCGUCGCGCCAUCCCGCUCCGUCCCAGCGGCGGGUCGCCGUUCGUGGGUUAUCUGGUUGCGCGCGUUCGAAUCGCGCCCGCUCGC